rnacentral:lncRNA from 1 species
AUUGAAAGUGGCUCAAAUUUAAAAUAUCUUUUCAGGACAUACAAUUUAUAUUUAUUAUAAUCUGAUUUUUUUCAGAGUUUAAAUAUACUGCAAGAGUAGAAUGAUGUCACUUGGAAAUGCAUAUCUGAUAAAGACCACUCCAGCUUAAAGUUUACUGCAGAAAGAUCCUGAGGUGGUGGAAGAAUGAUGACAUGCAAUAAGGACAAAAAGAGACAA